GUCGUGAGACAGUUCGGUCCCUAUCCGUCGCGGGCGUAGGAAAUUUGAGAGGACCUGUCCUUAGUACGAGAGGACCGGGAUGGACAUACCGCUGGUGUACCAGUUGUUCCGCCAGGAGCAUCGCUGGGUAGCUAUGUAUGGAUGAGAUAAACGCUGAAAGCAUCUAAGCGUGAAACUCGCCUCAAGAUGAGAUUUCCCAUUCCUUAUGGAAGUAAGACCCCUCAAAGAUGAUGAGGUAGAUAGGAUGGAAGUGGAAGUGCCGCGAGGCAUGGAGCGGACCAUUACUAAUCGGUCGAGGACUUAACCAAGUU
rnacentral:rRNA from 2 species